UGCUCUUCCUAUCUGGAAGCCCUGGGAAGCCUGGGGCAAGCCUUGUCAGGGGAGUUUAUCCCCAUGUCCAAACAAGACAGUGGGGCCAGAAGAGCUGGGGCCGGAGGAGGCUUUUCAGGCAGCCUGUCCCCUUUUGACUGCUGGACCCACAGGCAUGAGGGCUGAGCUCUUUGUCCCAGACGAACCUCUCCAGCCAAGGGAGAGGUGAGAAAAGAGAGCCAGUCCUCGGCCUCCGUCAAAGGGAC